GACAGAGGGUGCAAACGUUGUUCGGAAUACUGGCGUAAGCGUGAUGUAGGCGGUCGUCUUAAGUCGGAUGUGAAAGCCCGGGCUCAACCCGGGAAGUGCACUCGAAACUGGGAGGCUAGAGUACUGGAGAGGUUGGUGGAAUUCUCGGUGUAGAGGUGAAAUUCGUAGAUAUCGAGAGGAACACCGGUGGCGAAGGCGGCCAACUGGACAGAUACUGACGCUGAGACACGAAAGCGUGGGAGCAACAG
rnacentral:rRNA from 1 species